CGUAAAGCUAAUGAUUAGUGGAAUCGGGGGUCUCCGAUCCUUGACCAAUUCUCAAACUUUAAAUUGGUAAGAACCAGGAGUUAUCUUAAUUGAACUUUUGGGAAGAAUGCAUUGUUCUUAGUGGGCCAUUUUUGGUAAGCAGAACUGGCGAUGAGGGAUGAACCUAACGUUGAGAUAAGGUGCCCAAAUUCACGCUCAUCAGACACCAUAAAAGGCGUUGGUUAGUAUAAACAGCCGGACUGUGGCCAUGGAAGUCGGCACCAGCUAAGGAGUGUGUAACAACUCACCAGCCGAAUUAACCAGCCCUGAAAAUUGAUGGCGCUAAGCGUGAUACCGAUACUCAACCAUCAAGGCAAAUAGAAGCUUUGAUGAGUAAGAGGGCGUGAAGACUGUGUAGAAGGCUUGGAUGUGAAUCUGGCUGGAACAGUCUUUAGUGCAGAUCUUGGUGGUAGUAGCAAAUAUUCAAAUGAGAACUUUGAAGACCGAAGUGGAGAAGGGUUCCAUGAGAACAGCAUUUGGUCAUGGGUUACUCGAUCCUAAGACAUAGGGAAAUUCCUUGUAAUACAUUUACUCUUACGAGUAUGUAGUCAAAAGGGAAUGAGGUUCAUAUUCCUCAAGCUGGAUGUGGGGGCUAUGUGGUAACACAAACAAGCUCGGAGACAUCGGCAUGUGCAACUGGAAGAGUUCGCUUUUCUUCUUAACAGUCUAUCUCCCUGAAUGGAUUAUCCAGAGCUAGGGAUAUAUGGCUGGCAGAGCAGUUCUCCAUUGAAUUGUCAGUGAAGCUCAUAACGAUCCUUGAAAAUCCGAGUAAGAUUAUCCCAUCACGCCAGGUCGUACCCAUAACCGCAUCAGGUCUCCAAGGUUGGCAGCCUCUGGUCGAUAGAAUAACGUAAAUAAGGGAAUUCGGCAAAUUAGAUCCGUAACUUCGGGAAAAGGAUUGGCUCUGAGGAUUGAGUCUCACACCAAAGGGAUGGAACUUAGAACUGAUUUGGUAUUGGUCGCAAGACUGAGACCCGAUCGGAGAAGAGGAAAGCCCCUGCGGUUAGGACAAUUAACAAUCGACUCAGAACUGAAGCGGACAAGGGGAAUCCGACUGUUUAAUAAAAACAUAGCUUUGUGAUGGCCUCAAAAGGUGUCGACACAAAGUGAUUUCUGCCCAGUGCUUUGAAUGUGAAUAUGAAGUAAUUUAUAGAAGCUCAGGUAAACGGCGGGAGUAUCUGUGACUCUCUUAAGGUGGCCAAAUGCCUCGUCAUCUAAUUAGUGACGCGCAUGAAUGGAUUAAUGAGAUUCCCACUGUCCCUAUUUACCAUCUAGCGAACCCACAGCCAAGGGAACGGGCUUGGAAUAAUCAGCGGGGAAAGAAGACCCUGUUGAGCUUGACUCUAGUCCGACUUUGUGAAAUGACUUUCGAGAUAUAGCCUAAGUGGGAGCUAACGCGCCGCUGUAAAACCACUGCUCGCUUAGCCAUUUUACUUACUCCAUGAAGAAGUGACCAAUUUAUUGGUUCUUAG
rnacentral:rRNA from 1 species